ensembl:lncRNA
GGGAGGGGGUGUCCAGACUUGCUUAAUUGUCAUAAAAAUAAUAUUGCAAUGAGAAACAAAGCACCAUGUUCAUAUAGUAAGCUUCUAAAAAUAUAAUUAAGAGUUUUUGAUUUGGUGAUUAAAUGUGCCUUAGGCAUGUUUUCUUUUCUUUUCUUUUUUUUGUGGGGUGCGCUCUUUAUUUUGCAGACUUUUUUUCAGCAGGAGAAUUUGCCCUGAGGUGGGCGGAGCUCUGGGAAAGGUGUGAUAAGUGGGCAGAGUCUGUGUUUGUGAGAGGUGGGUUUGAAUUCUUGUGUAAAUUUGGUGCUCUCCGCAGGGUCAUACCAGAGCCGUUCAGACAGACCAAAAGGAGCAGAAGCACACGCAUUCCUGCUCCCAAUCUCAGUCAUUCCAAGACAGAAGGAAAGGGGGAAGGGGAAGGAGGUAGAAAGAGUGUGGGAGAGGGGAGGAGACGAGGGGGGGGGGGGGUCGCUGAACGGACACAGCCCCCAUCCCAAGCUGUUUCAGUCCCCGUCCACUCACGUGGGAGUCAGUAUGUUGUGGAGUUGGAGACGGAAUGUGGACGGCGAUGCAGGAAACAUGAGAUUUUAGAAAGGACGCGUGUCAUUGGGUCACAGGAUCGCCCCCUGGGAAGGCGUUUAUUGGAAGCAGCAGUAACCACGGGUUGAUAGAUCUGUGACCACACACGCACAGCUUCUCAUGUGGCGGUUCAGAGUGAAGUCCGUCGUCUUGCAUUUGUUGAAGUUGUCCAGAACGCCUGAACAUGUGUGGUCUCCAACCACAGCGGCAAAUCUCUUCAAUCCCUCUUUCAGUUCUAAUUCUGUCGUAUUUCUCGGUGGUUAGUCUAAUUUUAUCCUACAACAGCUCGUCCCCUUGUACUGCCUCAGAAAACUGCUGUGUGUGGAUUCUUUUGAAUAGUAAUUUAUAACUCUGUUGCCUUCUAUUUUUUCAGAUUUUGGAAGCUGAUCUGUAUGCAGAGUGAAAUCUACCAUGACUGUGAUGUCAUCGGCACACCGCAGGUAAUUUCAGAAAAAGUCAUGCUGUACCUGUCAGACUCAACUCUUGGUGUCAUGCAAAUGCAUGUGUGAAACUCAUUCAGAGUGAAUAUGAUC